CCCUGUUAAGAUCCCUUGUGAUCUGGUUUCUUCCUGAUUGUCUGUUUGUUUGGUUUUACUUUGAUAAAAACCCAUUUUGCUUUGCCCAAAAUGCCUUUCCCCAAGUGUAUCCUCCACCACAGUUUGCCAUUAUGGAAGAUGGAUGGGUGGCAAAAGAUGAAGAGUCUCACCUAAAGGUUGCUGGGUUCCAUCAAAGGGGGAACCUGGAAUGCCUGGAAAACAGCAUGAAGCACCGAGGACAUGCCGAAUCCACACACAUAAAGCUGAAGCUGCUUUCAGAUGAAAUACAAAAGCAACACUUUGAAUGGGAACAAAGUAGAUGCCAGAAAGAGACCAAAGGAUGGACCAUUUAUUCGUUCCCUGUACUUGCAUCUUCUAAGAAACUGCUGUGUCUCUGCAUGGAUCGCCUGCAACCUGAGGCACAGCAAGAUUCUGUGUUCAAAUGGACUAACUGCACUUGAAAUCCAAUUAUUUCUACUGCUGUGUUGAUACACAUAUGUAAAGGCAACAAAAAAAAACAAGAAAUUCUCAAUAGAAAAUUUUAGUUAUGGUGGCAAUCAUAAACAAUAGCAUGGGUAUAAUUUAUGGUGGUAGUGUGUGGGGGGAGGGAAUUGGACAGGACAUCACCCCUCAUUUGACCUGUAAUCACUCAUAUGCUUUAUAAAACGCUUGUGAUUCUUGGCAUGAGCGGGAAUCCCAUACUCAGCACAGGUGUUCUGCUUACCGGGCUGCUGCUGCCUCGCCCCUUGACCCUUUGCUGGGUAGGAGUUCGGAAGAUGAGUGAAUGGAUCAAAUCCUUGACAUGCAUAACGUAAAGUUUUCUCAGGGGAAGAAUUUUAAGAAAACAUCUAUGAGCCUGAUUUUAUUAAAAGGCUUGUUUUUUCACAACAGUAUUU